UUAAAAAGAUCUGUCAAAAAGAAUACAAAAAUUAUUUAUUAUUUAAUUAGUUUUCAUACGACUGUAAUUCAAAAGCCACAAAUCAUGCCUAUUCUAUAUAUGUGUGGCAAACAAUUGUAAUGAUGAUUACGAAAUGUUAUCUUUUAGAGUUUAAUUUGUUGGAACUUUGAUAUUGGUGCAGAUAUGAAAGAGGGUACGACUGUUUUAUCUAUUCAUUUAUUCAUUUACAUUAUUACAACAUCCAGAACCUUUUUUUUUUCAUAACUAUAAGAUGGCACACUUAAAAAAAAAGAGAAAAAAAAAAGAAAAACCAAGCCUCAUCUAAACUUAAACACUAAAAAAAUAAAUAAAUAAACAAAAAUCCAAAACAAACAACCCUAAACUAAAAUAAAGUCGAAAUCACCUUAAACUUUCAAAAAAACACAAAUAAAACCCAAACUACAAUUAACAGCAACAAUUAUUCACUGCAGUAACCAACACCACCGCCACACGCAAUUCCCAGUCAGCACAGCCACGCCCCUCGACCAAUAGGAGACAAGAGAUAACAACCCUCGCGCUACUGAUUGGCUCGCGGUGGGGUAUCUAACACGCUAUUGGGCGGCUGCGGGUGGCGGACGGUGGGCUUCACUCGUGAUAAAUGUUGUGGCAAGGUUGAAAUUUGUCGUGUGUUUUGGUGAGGGGUGUGGGGAACUGGUCUCCUGCCCCUGCCCCUCCCUGGCCAUACCUACUCCUGCCCUGCCUUCCCCUGUACCUUGUGUGGACGUGGGGAUGUGAAUUCAAUAUAUAUAUGCAGAUUCAAGACGUAACAGAUGCUUAACUCAGUCCAUCCUAAGACAACAUGCUAGUGACGGACGGACCACCACACCGCACCAUGAACACGGAGGAGGAAGAUGAAGCCAGCAGUGAAACCCAACUAGAAUGAAGAUGACAAUUAGUGCAACGAGUGUGUUAGAGCAUCUUUCUCCGCUCCAGACACUCCCCACUGCACUUCCCACUCCCUAUCCUGCUCUGCCUCGGUGCCAAAGUCAAGUCACCAACCAUGUCCCUAGAAUCCCAUAUCGCGCAAUCCAAUCCCUUCCUUUCGCUGGCUGUCGGAUUUGAACAGCCAGCUUGCAGAAUUUGAUCCAUGUACUUAUGGAGUCUUACAAAAUAACUCGAAUAUACUUUUCCUUUAUACAUUCACUUUUUUUUUUUUUGUAGUGAAAUCGAUGUCUUUGUUCUCGAUUUCCGGGUCUGAAAUGUUACGCUGUUGCUUGUUAUAACUUGUAAAUAAAUACUGCAAUGGUGUA